AUGAAGAGAAUAAGCCACAGAGUCCUGUCACCAAGACACUUAAAGGAAGCAAGUACUUGCUGUGACCGGGCGGCACGGAACUUUUCCGCGUCCUCCCGCAGGACCAGCGACACGGCCCUGGGCGGUCCAAGCCCAAGUCCGCCCCGCUGGCCCAGCAGGUGCGCGGGCCCGGGCCCGGAGGACGCGCGGCUCGGGCCCAGCCGGGGCUACGCGGAGGAAGACGCGCCGCCUCUCCCGGGGCCGAGCGCCAGCAGCCUGCCGCCCUCUCCGCGCCCGAAGGCAGGACGCGGCUCCGAAGCCCCCAGACCCCCGCCGGCCUCCCCAGUCCCCGGCCCCGAGGGGCUCUCCCGGCUCCAGGCAAGGCCGGCCGCGGCAGGUAUCAGACGAUAUCAAAGGCUACCUUCCCAGACACCUUGAUGCUGCAGAAGAGCUUCCUUGAUAGACACAUACCAGAUACAUACCUAACAACUCAACUUAUUCUCUCAAGUCCCACACAACACACUGUCAUGAAGUAACUGGUUAACCGCCUCCUAGUGUGUAAGCCCAGGAGACCCAUUGCUUGAUUGUGCUUCGCUAGCAGAAUGGAUGGCAAAACGGUAAGCAUUCAAAUAAAUACUGACUGAAAAGGUGAAUAUUUGCACGCACUCUAAGACACAUUCUGGGUAUUCUUUCUCUGGUUUCUUCUUGGAGAGAUCUUUCCAAAGACAUGUCAGGCAUAAUCCCCGCCAUCUAGGACUACUAAUUAAAAUCACAACAGGGAAUAGAGACUUAUCCACAAGAAACAAUUAUGGAGCAAUACACCAAAUUUAUUAAUAAAGUGUUAAAUGACAAAAACUUCAGCUGAAAGAAGGAGUGCUAUUGGUGGUCAAGAAAUUAGUCCUACAUGCUUAAGACUCUGCCAGUAAUAAGCACUGCAAGGCAAAAUACUAAAAGCUAUGGAUAUGAAAAAUAAAUGAGAAAGGCAGAAAAAAAGAGGAAUUAAGUCAAUAUACUAAAACUGAGUACAGAUAAAUAGCGUUAAGGCAUAGGGACAAGAUUAGUCUAUGAAAGACUGUGCAACUAGCUAAAUAAAUAUUUUAAAGUGCCUUAAAUACAUUAUGCUAAAAAGACAGACUAACAAAACUUGGGUUUUUUUCCCCUCUUUUGAGAAGCAGAAAAAACUAGCUGUAUUUUCUUUACUGCGAUUUCAACAGUUGGCUGGAGCAAGUUCCAUUUAUACUGGAAGAACAGAGAAUGUAACUAAAAUAGGUACAGACUAUAAGGAAAAACUGCAUUUACUCCAAUCAUCAGGGCUACAGAUACUUUAAAACAACAUGACCGAACCACAGAUAUUAUUUUGGGAGGUCAGAUUAAAUCCUUCAGGAUCAUCAAUGGACAAACGACUGACAUGCAGAAACUAAGACUAUUUUAUCAAAUCUGAAUGUAGAGUAUUCUAAGUUAGGAGUGAUUAUAGGAAAGUUAGGGGGAAAAAGCCCUACCAAAAAAAGAUAUGGAAAUUCAAAUGGGGCAAAUGCAAUAUAAAAAUUUACUGACAUAAACAUUCAAAUACCAGAGGAGAGUAGGUACAUGAUUUGAAAAAGUCCUCAUUUUACAGGUAGCUGAGGUUUAGAGGAAGGGACACUGGACCUAGCAAGAGAACCUGGUUUUUAGUGGGGGCAAGCCACUUAACUUCCUUUGGCUUCAUUUUUUUUUCCUAUGAAAACUGAGAUUAAUGUUAUCUUAAUCACUGGUCUUUUCUUUAUAUAUCUGUGUGUUAUUAUAAUAAGCAUAUAGAAGAUUAAAUGAGAUUAUAAGUGAAAAAUGUUUUUAAAAUUAUAAAGUGUAAAGGACUACAAAAUAUAAGGUAUAAGUGGCAAGCUUGUGGCCCACCACCAAGUGAAUAGGACCUGGUAAUCCUGUACCAUCCAGCAGAGGUCCUGGAUGCUGAGAUAGUUUACAGGAUGAAUGAGACACUCCAGGCAAGGUAAUGGAUCGAGGACACAGCAUGAAGUAAGGCAUGUGAUGGUCACAAAGUAGUCCUUCCUCCGAACUCAAUAUUUAUCACAGCCAAUUUUUAAAAAUAAGAUGGGAAAACCUAAAUAUUUCACACUAAGCAAUUCAAAAACACACAAAGAAAACUAAUCCCCCCGCCCCAAUGUGUAAUAAUUUGGGUUAGUUCAACAUUGAAGAAGUGUGUGUUAAAUCUUUAUUUGCUCCCCUCAAAUGAAGGGGUAGCAGAAACGUAAUGUUUUCCAUUAAAACACUAAAUCUCCAGGCGGGGUCACAGUCAAGUUCUCAUGAGCCAUCUCUUGAGCUAUGGGUUCCUAGCUCACCAGGAUUAGUAGACUUCUUAGUCCAAAGGAAGGGAGAAAGGCCAGGGAAAGCCAGGAGGCUUUAGUUAUGACUUAACACUUUAGCAGGAUAUUAACUGUAACACUUUGCUGGCUAGGAGGUGGGGGAACCAGCAGCAGGAAGGAAAAGUGUAACUGAAAGAGGAGGAAAGCAAACCACCAAAGACAACCUUCUCUCUUGUACUUCACAAUUCUGUCUUGGAUCAAAAACAAAACAAAACAAAAAACUACUCUUGAAAACAAGAAGCAAAUUAGUCUGUUCUUACUGUCUUCACCAUUCAGACUUAAUGACUAAGAUACUGAUAACUUUGUGUUCAGGUUUGCAGGAAAACUAAAAGAACACUGGCCUAAAUUAAAGCAGGGCAGCAUUAGCUAUGAGGUAGAUACUCUUAAUUCUUGGCCUUCAGGGUGAUAACCCUAAAUGAUAACCUGUCUGUGAUAGUUCGAGAAGAAAGAAACAAUAUUCAUCUUCCAUGGUUUCUUCAUUUCUGUCUGUUGAAAGGGGUUAUCCUAGCUGACUGGAAAGCUCCUACCACUUACCAAAACCUCCUAAUAGCUUCUUGAUAAGAAGCUGAAAAAAGCACUAGCAUCCAAGCAUCUUAGACCACAUGAUGAAGGAGAAUACAAGAUGGUUCAUAGGAAAGGGGUGAACAGCAUAAGCUCCAUGAGGACAAGGUGUUUAUCAUUACUGCUGUAUCCCUUGAAUCAAUUCUAAAACAUUAACAGGACCUCAUUAAAUAUUUGUUGGAAAAAAUGAACAGAUGAACAAGCAAAUAAAUGAAAUUUAAC
rnacentral:lncRNA from 1 species